GAUGAACGCUGGCGGCGUGCCUAAUACAUGCAAGUCGAGCGAAUGGAUUAAGAGCUUGCUCUUAUGAAGUUAGCGGCGGACGAGUGAGUAACACGUGGGUAACCUGCCCAUAAGACUGGGAUAACUCCGGGAAACCGGGGCUAAUACCGGAGAACAUUUUGAACCGCAUGGUUCGAAAUUGAAAGGCUGCUUCGGCUGUCACUUCUGGAUGGACCCGCGUCGCAUUAGCUAGUUGGUGAGGUAACGGCUCACCAAGGCAACGAUGCGUAGCCGACCUGAGAGGGUGAUCGGCCACACUGGGACUGAGACACGGCCCAGACUCCUACGGGAGGCAGCAGUAGGGAAUCUUCCGCAAUGGACGAAAGUCUGACGGAGCAACGCCGCGUGAGUGAUGAAGGCUUUCGGGUCGUAAAACUCUGUUGUUAGGGAAGAACAAGUGCUAGUUGAAUAAGCUGGCACCUUGACGGUACCUAACCAGAAAGCCACGGCUAACUACGUGCCAGCAGCCGCGGUAA
rnacentral:rRNA from 1 species